rnacentral:rRNA from 1 species
GACGAACGCUGGCGGCAGGCCUAACACAUGCAAGUCGAGCGAGAGGCGGACGGGAGAGGAAUGUAUGGGGACUGCCCGCUAGAGGGGGAUAACUACAGGAAACGGUAUCUAAUACCGCAUACUAGAGGAUAACCCAGAUGGGAUUGGCUAGUAGGUGAGGUAAUGGCCCACCUAGGCGACGAUCCCUAGCUGGUCUGAGAGGAUGAUCAGCCACACUGGAGCUGAGACAGGGCCCAGACUCCUACGGAGGCAGCAGUGGGGAAUGUUGCACAGUGGGCGCAAGCCUGAUGCAGCCAUGCCGCGUGUAUGAAGAAGGCCCUAGGGUUGUAAAGUACUUUCAGUCGUGAGGCGUUACCGACAGAAGAAGCACCGGCUAACUCCGUGCCAGCAGCCGCGGUAAUAC